GUCGGGAAUUUUGCCCAAUGAGCGAAAGCUUGAGGCAGCAACUCCGCGUGAGGGAUGAAGGCUCUCGGGUCGUAAACCUCUUUUCUCAGGGAAGAUCCAAGACGGUACCUGAGGAAUAAGCGACGGCUAACUACGUGCCAGCAGCCGCGGUAAUACGUAGGUCGCAAGCGUUGUCCGGAUUUACUGGGCGUAAAGAGCGCGCAGGCGGCUGGUCAAGUCCGAUGUGAAAUCUCCCGGCUCAACUGGGAAACUGCAUCGGAAACUGAUCGGCUUGAAGAUGGGAGAGGGUAGUGGAAUUCCCGGUGUAGUGGUGAAAUGCGUAGAUAUCGGGAGGAACACCAGUGGCGAAGGCGACUACCUGGCCCAUUCUUGACGCUGAGGCGCGAAAGCUAGGGGAGCGAACGGGAUUAGAAACCCCGGUAGUCC
rnacentral:rRNA from 1 species